UACAGCAUCUUCCGUCAAGCUAUUUCUUCUUGUCUACCUGCAGGGUCCCUGCCUACACCAAUUCCUUCAGCUUCCAUUAUUUCUUAAUCAGGCCAACAGGGAGAAGAAGGUUCUGCAUCAUCAGGAAGGGAGGUGCCUCUCAGGUUGUGUUGCUCUUGGAUGCGAUGGUGCCAUGGAAGAUGGAGGCGCGCCUGGCGGAGACGGUGUGGGUGGUGCUCCUCGGCUGGGUCUCCUCCUGCCUCACCGUCGCCGGCGACGUCGCGCGCGCACUCAGAAGCAGCGACCUCUCCAUCUAAAAGCAACUUCCGACAUCGCCGGCUGCGAAGAACCGACGACUCUGCAUCGCGCUCCGUUUGGCGCACAGGGGAAGAAAUAGCUUAGACGUAACCAGUCCGUGGACAGAGUUCAUCCACAGAAGGACGGGUCUGAUGUAAAAGUGAAAUCUUCAUGUAGCAUAGACGUAAAAUUUUGUGUCAAGCAGAGAAAUAGCUAUUGCUCAGAGUGUCCUGACUUUCUAACA